UACAGAGGUCCCAAGCGUUGUUCGGAUUCACUGGGCGUAAAGGGUGCGUAGGUGGUGAGGUAAGUCGGAUGUGAAAUCUCCGGGCUCAACCCGAAAAUGGCAUUGGAAACUACCUUGCUUGAGGGUUUGAGGGGGGAUUGGAAUACUUGGUGUAGCAGUGAAAUGCGUAGAUAUCAAGUGGAACACCAGUGGCGAAGGCGAAUCCCUGGAAAAUACCUGACACUGAGGCACGAAAGCUAGGGGAGCAAACAGG
rnacentral:rRNA from 1 species